GACGAACGCUGGCGGCGUGCUUAACACAUGCAAGUCGAACGGAAAGGCCCGGCUUUUGUCGGGUGUCCGAGUGGCGAACGGGUGAGUAACACGCGAGUAACCUGCCCUUGCCUUUGGGAUAACUUCAGGAAACUGGGGCUAAUACCUGCUAGGAGCUCUUGAAUCAUGGGGUGGGUUGGAAAGUUUCGGCGGUUGGGGCUGGACUCGCGGCUUAUCAGCUUGUUGGUGGGGUAGUGGCUUACGAAGGCUUUGACGGGUAGCCGGCCUGAGAGGGUGACCAGCCACAUUGGGCCUGAGGUAGGGCCCAGACUGCUACGGGAGGCAGCGGUGGGAAUCAUUGCGCAAUGGGCCGAAGCCUGAUGCAGCGACUCCGGGUUCGGGAUGACUGCCUUCGGGUUGUAAACCGCUUUCUCCUGAGACGAAGCGGGAUUGACGGUAAUGGGUAAAAAAGCACCGGCUAACUACGUG
rnacentral:rRNA from 1 species